rnacentral:rRNA from 1 species
CAAGGAAGGCAGCAGGCGCGCAAAUUACCCACUCCCGGCACGGGGAGGUAGUGACGAAAAAUAACGAUACGGGACUCAUCCGAGGCCCCGUAAUCGGAAUGAGUACACUCUAAACCCUUUAACGAGGAUCAAUUGGAGGGCAAGUCUGGUGCCAGCAGCCGCGGUAAUUCCAGCUCCAAUAGCGUAUAUUAAAGUUGUUGCGGUUAAAAAGCUCGUAGUCGAAUCUGUGUCCCGCGCCGCCGGUUCAUCGCUCGCGGUGUUUAACUGGCGUGCCGCGAGACGUCCUGCCGGUGGGCUUAGCUCGUUCGCGGGCGGCCCAACUUCAAAUCCCACCGCGGUGCUCUUGACUGAGUGUCGAGGUGGGCCGGCACGUUUACUUUGAACAAAUUAGAGUGCUUAAAGCAGGCUAAAACUUCGCCUGAAUACUGUGUGCAUGGAAUAAUGGAAUAGGACCUCGGUUCUAUUUUGUUGGUUUUCGGAACCCCGAGGUAAUGAUUAAUAGGAACGGAUGGGGGCAUUCGUAUUGCGACGUUAGAGGUGAAAUUCUUGGAUCGUCGCAAGACGGACAGAAGCGAAAGCAUUUGCCAAAAACGCUUUCAUUGAUCAAGAACGAAAGUUAGAGGUUCGAAGGCGAUCAGAUACCGCCCUAGUUCUAACCAUAAACGAUGCCAGCUAGCGAUCCGCCGACGUUCCUCCGAUGACUCGGCGGGCAGCUUCCGGGAAACCAAAGCUUUUGGGUUCCGGGGGAAGUAUGGUUGCAAAGCUGAAACUUAAAGGAAUUGACGGAAGGGCACCACCAGGAGUGGAGCCUGCGGCUUAAUUUGACUCAACACGGGAAACCUCACCAGGCCCGGACACCGGAAGGAUUGACAGAUUGAGAGCUCUUUCUUGAUUCGGUGGGUGGUGGUGCAUGGCCGUUCUUAGUUGGUGGAGCGAUUUGUCUGGUUAAUUCCGAUAACGAACGAGACUCUAGCCUGCUAACUAGGCGUAUUUUCGACAUCUCAAAGGCCCGCCGGCCCGGCGUAUUCGCGUCGCGGUUGGGCGCGGUUUUUACUGUCGGCGUACAAUCAAUUCUUCUUAGAGGGACAGGCGGCUUCUAGCCGCACGAGAUUGAGCAAUAACAGGUCUGUGAUGCCCUUAGAUGUUCUGGGCCGCACGCGCGCUACACUGAAGGAAUCAGCGUGUCCUCCCUGGCCGAGAGGCCCGGGUAACCCGCUGAACCUCCUUCGUGCUAGGGAUUGGGGCUUGCAAUUGUUCCCCAUGAACGAGGAAUUCCCAGUAAGCGCGAGUCAUAAGCUCGCGUUGAUUACGUCCCUGCCCUUUGUNCACACCGCCCGUCGCUACUACCGAUUGAAUGAUUUAGUGAGGUNUNNGGACCGGUACGCGGCNGCGCUCCGCGUCGCCGAUG